UUCGCAUAGACAGGUUAUUCCAACAUAAUGAUAAAGAAUGGAAUAACAGAAGAAUUUCACCAAGUAUAGGGUAGUCCGCGUAUACAGGUUAUUCUAACAGAAUAAUAAAGAAUGGAAUAACAGAAGUUCUCUUCAUGAAUACAAAAGAAAUAAUACCCCUUACCUUAGAAGAAACUGGAUAUAGGAGUAGUGAAGUAGUAGAAUACUUUUCUUCUUUCUCUCUAUAGUUUCUCUCUCUAGAGUUUCAGUGAAUUCGUAAGAAAUAAUGAAGGAAUGAGCU
rnacentral:lncRNA from 1 species